rnacentral:rRNA from 1 species
GAUGAACGCUGGCGGCGUGCCUAAUACAUGCAAGUCGAGCGAACAGACGAGGAGCUUGCUCCUCUGACGUUAGCGGCGGACGGGUGAGUAACACGUGGAUAACCUACCUAUAAGACUGGGAUAACUUCGGGAAACCGGAGCUAAUACCGCAUAAUAUAUUGAACCGCAUGGUUCAAUAGUGAAAGACGGUUUUGCUGUCACUUAUAGAUGGAUCCGCGCCGGAUUAGCUAGUUGGUAAGGUAACGGCUUACCAAGGCAACGAUGCGUAGCCGACCUGAGAGGGUGAUCGGCCACACUGGAACUGAGACACGGUCCAGACUCCUACGGGAGGCAGCAGUAGGGAAUCUUCCGCAAUGGGCGAAAGCCUGACGGAGCAACGCCGCGUGAGUGAUGAAGGUCUUCGGAUCGUAAAACUCUGUUAUUAGGGAAGAACAAAUGUGUAAGUAACUAUGCACGUCUUGACGGUACCUAAUCAGAAAGCCACGGCUAACUACGUG